GUUUGAUUUGUUUUCUAGAUGGGUUGUAGCUGGCUCCUCCGGAAGUAUGUGCACGCCUGUCUGGACUUCAUUUUCAUCCACCUGUGCACCUUUUGUAGUCUUUUUCAGAGUAUUGGAGGAAGUGGUCAGCCUAUCAGCUCUUCGCUGGAUGUAAGGACUUGCAGUGUGAAAACAGUGCUGUCCUUUACCUUGGCCAUGGAAUCUUUUUCCUGUUAGAGUCUAUGUUAUUCAUUAUACUCUUAGAAUGUCAUUGAAUGUCUUUACAUGGGCUAUGCCUAUGAAAAUUAUUAUACAACUUUCAGCAACGGAUCUCUUGGCUCUCGCAUCGAUGAAGAACGCAGCGAAAUGCGAUAAGUAAUGUGAAUUGCAGAAUUCAGUGAAUCAUCGAAUCUUUGAACGCAUCUUGCGCUCCUUGGUAUUCCGAGGAGCAUGCCUGUUUGAGUGUCAUUAUAUUCUCAACUCUCCAAUACUUUGUUGUAAAGGAGAGCUUGGAUUGUGGAGGUUUGCUGGCUCCUUACUUGGGGUCAGCUCCUCUGAAAUGCAUUAGCGGAAUCGUCUGCGAUCUGCCACAAGUGUGAUAACUUAUCUACACUGGCGAGGGGAUUGCUUUCUGAUGUUCAGCUUCUAAUCGUCUAAGGACAAUUUCUUGAAUGCUUGACCUCAAAUCAGGUAGGACUACCCGCUGAACUUAAGCUUAAA
rnacentral:rRNA from 1 species